rnacentral:rRNA from 1 species
GACGAACGCUGGCGGCGUGCUUAACACAUGCAAGUCGAACGGAAAGGCCCUGCUUUUGUGGGGUGCUCGAGUGGCGAACGGGUGAGUAACACGUGAGUAACCUGCCCUUGACUUUGGGAUAACUUCAGGAAACUGGGGCUAAUACCGGAUAGGAGCUCCUGCUGCAUGGUGGGGGUUGGAAAGUUUCGGCGGUUGGGGAUGGACUCGCGGCUUAUCAGCUUGUUGGUGGGGCAGUGGCUUACCAAGGCUUUGACGGGUAGCCGGCCUGAGAGGGUGACCGGCCACAUUGGGACUGAGAUACGGCCCAGACUCCUACGGGAGGCAGCAGUGGGGAAUAUUGCACAAUGGGCGGAAGCCUGAUGCAGCAACGCCGCGUUCGGGAUGACGGCCUUCGGGUUGUAAACCGCUUUCGCCUGUGACGAAGCGUGAGUGACGGUAAUGGGUAAAGAAGCACCGGCUAACUACGUG